UGUCCGCCAGAGAACUACAAGUGAAAAACUAGAAACUCCAAGGACUUGGCGGUGCCCCACACCAACCUAGAGGAGCCUGUCCUAUAAUCGAUAAUCCACGUUACACCUCACCAUUUCUAGUCAAUCCAGCCUAUAUACCGCCGUCGAAAGCCUACCUUAUGAAAGAAAGAAAGUAAGCAAAAUAGUCAGUAACUAAAACGUCAGGUCAAGGUGUAGCAUAUGAAAUGGAAGAGAUGGGCUACAUUUUCUGUAUCAGAACAAACGGACAGCAAAGUGAAACUAAUGCUCGAAGGCGGAUUUAGCAGUAAGGCAAAAAAGAAAACUUGCCUAAAGCCCGCUCUGGGGCGCGCACACACCGCCC
rnacentral:rRNA from 1 species